GACGAACGCGGCGGCGUGCCUAAUACAUGCAAGUAGAACGCUGAAGGAGGAGCUUGCUUCUCUGGAUGAGUUGCGAACGGGUGAGUAACGCGUAGGUAACCUGCCUGGUAGCGGGGGAUAACUAUUGGAAACGAUAGCUAAUACCGCAUAAGAGUAGAUGUUGCAUGACAUUUGCUUAAAAGGUGCAAUUGCAUCACUACCAGAUGGACCUGCGUUGUAUUAGCUAGUUGGUGAGGUAACGGCUCACCAAGGCAACGAUACAUAGCCGACCUGAGAGGGUGAUCGGCCACACUGGGACUGAGACACGGCCCAGACUCCUACGGGAGGCAGCAGUAGGGAAUCUUCGGCAAUGGACGGAAGUCUGACCGAGCAACGCCGCGUGAGUGAAGAAGGUUUUCGGAUCGUAAGGCUCUGUUGUAAGAGAAGAACGAGUGUGAGAGU
rnacentral:rRNA from 1 species